rnacentral:lncRNA from 1 species
GACAUCUUAUAUUUGCAAACGGAGGAAGUAGAAGUUCCAUAUUUGAGGCAGAUCCAUGGCAGUAGAUUUAUGGAUUAAAAAAAUCACAUCAUCUAUUGGGUAAAGAUUGCUAGUUUCAGUAAAAGGUGGCUAUACUACCAUUGUAGUCUACCAGUUUUGGAAGUUUGAAUAGAAACUUCGGACUGCAUCAUCAGUCUUUCUCUUUCUAUGAGCUUCAUCCAAGGGCCUACAACUGCUUGGAUUUUGUGACUAAGUAUUGUUUGAUCACAGCCAUCUGGGUCAUUCUUAGCACUAGGCCCUAUGAAAUGUACUAGUGCCAUGACUUGACGAACAAAAACCAUUAUGUAACUCAGAUGCUAUCCUGCUCAAAUGUCCCAGUUUCAGGACGGAAGGAAGAAGAACAACCCAUCUUCCUCUAACCAUCAUGGUGACGCCACAUCGUGUAUGAUUUCGUCAUCGCAUAAUCGCAAAUCCUGAUGCUUCCGAUCCCUAGGAUGUCUGUGGUUUUCUACAACAUUGAAAAGCAAUUCCAACUAACUGUAAAAAAUUAUGUGGUACACCGCAUGCGUGAUGUAUUUUGAUAUGAACAUAGAAACAAUCGAGCUCUACUCCUUGCUUGCCCUUAGGCACGCAG